ACGCUCGACACCUACGGGAGGGCAGCAGUGGGGAAUAUUGCACAAUGGAGGAAACUCUGAUGCAGCGACGCCGCGUGAGGGAAGAAGGUCUUCGGAUUGUAAACCUCUGUUGUCAGGGACGAUGAUGACGGUACCUGACGAGGAAGCCACGGCUAACUACGUGCCAGCAGCCGCGGUAAUCUGAGCGGGCUGGCAAGGC
rnacentral:rRNA from 1 species